rnacentral:rRNA from 1 species
AGAGUUUGAUCCUGGCUCAGGAUAAACGCUGGCGGCGCACAUAAGACAUGCAAGUCGAACGAACUUAAUUGAGAGCUUGCUCUCAAGGCGGUUAGUGGCGGACUGGUGAGUAACACGUAAGCAACCUGCCUAUUAGAGGGGAAUAACAGCGAGAAAUCGUUGCUAAUACCGCAUAUGCUGUGAGUAUCGCAUGAUACAAGCAGGAAAGGAGUAAUCCGCUAAUAGAUGGGCUUGCGUCUGAUUAGUUAGUUGGUGGGGUAACGGCCUACCAAGACGAUGAUCAGUAGCCGGACUGAGAGGUUGAACGGCCACAUUGGGACUGAGAUACGGCCCAGACUCCUACGGGAGGCAGCAGUCGGGAAUAUUGCGCAAUGGAGGAAACUCUGACGCAGUGACGCCGCGUGCAGGAAGAAGGUUUUCGGAUUGUAAACUGCUUUUAACAGGAAAGAAAAAAAAGACGGUACCUGUUGAAUAAGCUCCGGCUAACUACGUGCCAGCAGCCGCGGUAAUACGUAGGGAGCGAGCGUUAUCCGGAUUUAUUGGGUGUAAAGGGUGCGUAGACGGAAAUGCAAGUUAGUUGUGAAAUACCUCGGCUUAACUGAGGAACUGCAACUAAAACUAUAUUUCUUGAGUAUCGGAGGGGUUUGUGGAAUUCCUAGUGUAGCGGUGAAAUGCGUAGAUAUUAGGAAGAACACCGGUGGCGAAGGCGGCCUGCUGGACGAAAACUGACGUUGAGGCUCGAAGGCGUGGGGAGCAAACAGGAUUAGAUACCCUGGUAGUCCACGCGGUAAACGAUGAAUACUAGGUGUUGGUGCCCGAAGGGCAUCGGUGCCGUCGCAAACGCAAUAAGUAUUCCACCUGGGGAGUACGUUCGCAAGAAUGAAACUCAAAGGAAUUGACGGGGACCCGCACAAGCGGUGGAGCAUGUGGUUUAA